rnacentral:tRNA from 1 species
GACUCCAUAGCCCAAUGGAGAAGGUGCUGGUCUACGGAGCCAAAGAUUUUAGGUUUGAUCCCCAAUGGAGUCG